rnacentral:lncRNA from 1 species
AUUUGCAGUGGUCAGUUCAAGGCUAAAAAGGCUGUUUUGCUUUCAGUAAUAUUUAACUGGCUGGUUUCGGGCCACAUCCCACAGUGGCCAGAAAACUGCUACAAAAUUGACUGUGGGAAACAUGAGUUCUGUUCAACCUCUCUGGAAUGCCGUAUAAAUCAUCCUGGAAUACUCGAGAACAAUGGCCUGACUGUUUCUCUGGCAAUAUGCAUGGCCACAUCCUCCAGCUGUGUGUAAUCCAAGCUGUAGCCUCUUUUAUCCAUCUAGAACCUAAGAACGCUACUGUGUUACGAGGUAGUGAGGUCCACUUUAACUGCAGCACCGAUGAAUCCUGGGAUGUCAUGACGUGGCUGUUGGGUGGAAGGACAAUCCUCACUAUUUCGGUGGAACAUGGUCCUCUGGGCAGAGAUGAGAGUGUGUCCACAGUCAAUCACUCAGUCAUGUCAUCUCUGUCAGUGUGGGAGUUAGUUCUGUUGAACGCUUCCUUCAGCCCCACUGUACAGGAAGUCACAUGUGAACUGCUGCCAACGAAACUCGGCAGAUCAUCAUCAGCUCUGUUUGUACAAGAAAAAGGAAAUGUCAGGAUUUUGGAGAGUGAUCAGUCAGUUCAAGAGGGGAUGCUUGUUAUCUGCCAUUGCCAAGCGAGUGGCUGGUAUCCGGACCCUUCAGUGUCCUGGGUGGUCAACGGCACCACUGUGGACAGAGGCGACUACAACACCAGCAGUUUUCAGGACCCCAAUGGCCUUUUCAGCUCUACCAGUGUGCUUCAGAUGAAAGCAGAGACGAGCACCAUGGUGGAGUGUUGGGCAUCUGUGUCUGCCGCUCGAGCCCACCAGAGCAGCAGUCUCAAGCUGACUGUAGUGGCACCGAAUACUCCACAGGACUACACAGUUGUGAUCACUGUGAUAGUGUCGGUGUGUACAAUCAUUCUGCUGGCAGUGCUCAUCCUGGUCUUGUACUAUAGAAAAAAAGUGACAAAAUCGAGCUCUGAAAAUAAAGUCAGCCCCUCUUUGUGGACUGUCAAUUUAAGCAGUAGGAGGAGGUCUGUUGCUGAUGAAACCAGAGGAAAAGUUAACCUAGGAUACCACACUGAAGACGUAACAAGUUCAGGGCACCAUGAGCUCAGGAACAGAGCUGACAGCACGAUAAACAUCAUCAGCCCUCCGCGGGUUCCUGAUAUCAUAAUUUUCCGCUCUCAAAAUCAUAAAGAGGAAGAUUUUUCUAAAUUGUACUACAAGGGAGGAAAGACAGUCCGUCGGGUCACCACUGUUUGACCUCAGGGUCAACCCCACAUCAACCACCCACUGCAAGAAAGAGCCAGCUUUCUGUUCAGAGAGACGCCACAAAUUCAGUCUGACCUUAUUGUUACUACAAAGAGGUCUUAUAUGCUGAAGAUGAAGAUGCAGUGGCUUGCAUGUCAAGAGUAUUGAGACAUAAUCAUAUGAGCCCUGCAGUCAACUGCAUGCAAUCAUUCAUGGUAAUGGCUGCUGAUAAAUCAGCCACAUCAACACUGCAUAUGCUCUUUUUCAGAAAUAAUUCAAUUGGAUGUGAUUAUUUUGUACCUUAUUCAAAUGAAAAUAUUUAAGUUAUUUUUUGUUGAUCGAUACUUUACACAAUUUUGUACAUCAGUAUAUGCAUCUUCAUCAGUAUAGAGGGCUGGAGUGAUGAUGUAUUUUUGUGGGCCAAACCGGAAGUUGGCAUUACCCUGGUUCCAUUGACAAAAAUCCAACUGUAUUUUUCCAAUGGCUUUUGGAAUAUUGCAGAAAAUAAGCUCUGAGACCAUCAAAAGUUUAUAAUUUCACGUUUUUCUCAUCAUAAUAAUUUUUACAAAUCUUCACAACUUAAGCCUAAAUACAAUUAGCAGAAGUAAAAAGAUAAAUGUAGGCUAUAAAUUAAUAUAGGCUAUAAAUAAAUUAUUUAAAUCCUUAUUAAAAAAAUACCUUAAAAGUUUGAGUUAGAAUAGUUUGCAAGAGAAUGAUUAUAAACACAAUGUGCUGUGAACUAGUAAAUAGUAGCUUACCCUUUUCAGUGCAACAUUUAAGCUUUUACUUUCUUGUAAAAGGCGGCUGCUAACAAGUCGCAAAAUAGAACUACAGAGGAUGUUGAGGACAUUAAAGGGAUAGUUCACCCAAAAAUGAAAAUUCUGUCAUUAAUUACUCACCCUCAUGUCGUUCUAAACCCGUGUUCAUCUUCGGAACACAAAUUAAGAUCAAGAUCAACGCCCAGAAACGUAGCAAGGAGAUCGGUAAAUAAUCUAUGUCACAUCAGGGGUUCAACCGUAAUAUUAUGAAGCUACGAGAAUACUUUUUGUGCGCAAAAGAAAAGAAAAAAAACUACUUUAUUCAACAAUUCGUCUCCUCCGCGUCACCCUAUAGCGCCAUUUUGGAGAGUAUCCACUAAACGCAAACAGCGUAUGGUGUUCUAUGUCAGCUGCGCGAUACGUUUUCUACGUUGUUUGUGCUUUGAUUUGAACGAAAACAACGUAUCUGCGUGACGCAGCUGACACAGAACACCAUACGCUGUUUGCGUUCAGUGGAUACUCUCCAAAAUGGCGCUAUAGGGUGACGUGGAAGAGACGAAUUGUUGAAAAAAAAAUUUUGCGCACAAAAAGUAAUCUCAUAGCUUCGUAAUAUUACGGUUGUACCUCUGACGUCACAUGGAUUAUUUUAACGAUCUCCUUGCUACGUUUCUGGACCUCGAUCGUGGUAGUACCCUUGCUGUCUUUGGGAGGGUCGGAAAGCUCUCAGAUUCCAUCAGAAAUAUCUUAAUUUGUGUUCCGAAGAUGAACGAAGGUCUUACGGGUUUAGAACGACAUGAGGGUGAGUAAUUAUUGACAGAUUUUUCAUUUUUGGGUAAACUAACCCUUUAAUAUCCCCAGCAUCCUCUGUAGUUCUAUUUAGUGAUUUGUUAGCAGCCGCCUUUUACAAGAAAGUAAAAGCUUAAAAACAAGUCGGUAUUAUGCAUAUGUAUUUUUUUUGUCAUGGAAUCAAAUGUGAAAAUUCUUGUACUUUUUUAAUGAAAGCUUUAAACCACAAACCCAUUCAAAAACACUUUGUCUUCAGGGCAAUGGAACCAAAGUGAUAAAAUGCGAACUGAUUUCUGGGUUUUGUCCUAUAAAAACAUGUCAUCCCUGCAUCAAUUUAUUUUAUUGUUAUUUAUUUAUACAGUGUAUCUUUGCAAUAA